CUCGGCGCCUGCCGAACCGAACGGGCGGUUCUGCGCUUGUUGGAAGUUUUCACAUGAAACUUCAAAGAGUUUUAAGCUCGAACAAUUUGCGCCAUCUAAAAACGCUGCCCUAAAGAUGAUCCCUCCCCUUCCUUCAGUUUUAGGUUAAGGAGGGGGAGGGGUCUAUAACAGAGUAGCUGCGGAACGCGACGGAUUUGGCGCAACAAGUACCUACCAAAUGCCUACUUGUAAAAUUUUAGAAGGUCCUCGGUGCCUGUGUCUCCAGUACCGAACGGACAAUCCUGUGCGCGUUCGAAGUUUUUACUUGAAGCAGUUAUUUAAUUCAGAAGCGACUUUGUAACUAGUAUAAUACGCGCAAUCUAAAUGCCGGACCUGAAGUUUGUCUCUCUAUGAUAUCUUUCCAUCACUUAAUUUCAGACCCGCCAACUUAGACCGCGCUUAUUGUAAUUAAGAUAAUUUUAAUGUUGCUUUGUUAUAUACAUAUAUUGCCAUUUAUUUAACAAAGCAACCGGCUAGUGCUAGUGGAAGUUACUAUGUAUAAUGUACCUAUAUAUUAUAGAUCAGGGCGAUUGGGCAGUUUACACUUUAAAGACCUUGUACCUAAUUUAACGGUUAUGCGUUAUCGAUAAAUGUUUGAAAUCAAAACUCUACGAAGCGAUUAAACAUUAAUUAUUAUUCUAGUUAAGGUUAGCUCAAUGUUGGUUUGUUACAUAUAUGCAAAUAUUUAACAAAACAACCGGCUAUAAUUACUGUAUGUUACUAAUUCCGUAGUAUUUUAAUCAGUAGCUUAUGGUCCUUGUGUAAUCGGGACAAAAAAAAAAAAUAAAAAAUUGAAGAAAAUGUAA